rnacentral:rRNA from 1 species
GGGUUGUGAGGUUAAGCGACUAAGCGUACACGGUGGAUGCCCUGGCAGUCAGAGGCGAUGAAGGACGUGCUAAUCUGCGAUAAGCGUCGGUAAGGUGAUAUGAACCGUUAUAACCGGCGAUUUCCGAAUGGGGAAACCCAGUGUGUUUCGACACACUAUCAUUAACUGAAUCCAUAGGUUAAUGAGGCGAACCGGGGGAACUGAAACAUCUAAGUACCCCGAGGAAAAGAAAUCAACCGAGAUUCCCCCAGUAGCGGCGAGCGAACGGGGAGCAGCCCAGAGCCUGAAUCAGUAUGUGUGUUAGUGGAAGCGUCUGGAAAGGCGCGCGAUACAGGGUGACAGCCCCGUACACAAAAAUGCACAUGCUGUGAGCUCGAUGAGUAGGGCGGGACACGUGGUAUCCUGUCUGAAUAUGGGGGGACCAUCCUCCAAGGCUAAAUACUCCUGACUGACCGAUAGUGAACCAGUACCGUGAGGGAAAGGCGAAAAGAACCCCGGCGAGGGGAGUGAAAAAGAACCUGAAACCGUGUACGUACAAGCAGUGGGAGCACGCUUAGGCGUGUGACUGCGUACCUUUUGUAUAAUGGGUCAGCGACUUAUAUUCUGUAGCAAGGUUAACCGAAUAGGGGAGCCGAAGGGAAACCGAGUCUUAACUGGGCGUUAAGUUGCAGGGUAUAGACCCGAAACCCGGUGAUCUAGCCAUGGGCAGGUUGAAGGUUGGGUAACACUAACUGGAGGACCGAACCGACUAAUGUUGAAAAAUUAGCGGAUGACUUGUGGCUGGGGGUGAAAGGCCAAUCAAACCGGGAGAUAGCUGGUUCUCCCCGAAAGCUAUUUAGGUAGCGCCUCGUGAAUUCAUCUCCGGGGGUAGAGCACUGUUUCGGCAAGGGGGUCAUCCCGACUUACCAACCCGAUGCAAACUGCGAAUACCGGAGAAUGUUAUCACGGGAGACACACGGCGGGUGCUAACGUCCGUCGUGAAGAGGGAAACAACCCAGACCGCCAGCUAAGGUCCCAAAGUCAUGGUUAAGUGGGAAACGAUGUGGGAAGGCCCAGACAGCCAGGAUGUUGGCUUAGAAGCAGCCAUCAUUUAAAGAAAGCGUAAUAGCUCACUGGUCGAGUCGGCCUGCGCGGAAGAUGUAACGGGGCUAAACCAUGCACCGAAGCUGCGGCAGCGACGCUGAUGCGUUGUUGGGUAGGGGAGCGUUCUGUAAGCCUGCGAAGGUGUGCUGUGAGGCAUGCUGGAGGUAUCAGAAGUGCGAAUGCUGACAUAAGUAACGAUAAAGCGGGUGAAAAGCCCGCUCGCCGGAAGACCAAGGGUUCCUGUCCAACGUUAAUCGGGGCAGGGUGAGUCGACCCCUA